rnacentral:rRNA from 1 species
GACGAACGCUGGCGGCGUGCUUAACACAUGCAAGUCGAACGAAGUGGCGAACGGGUGAGUAACGCGUAAUCAACCUGCCCUUCCGAGGGGGACAACAGUUGGAAACGACUGCUAAUACCGCAUACUGAAGGAUGGGAUUGCGUCUGAUUAGCUAGUUGGCGGAAUAACGGCCCACCAAGGCGAUGAUCAGUAGCAGGGCUGAGAGAAUGAACGGACACAAUGGGGCUGAGACACGGCCCAGACUCUUACGGGAAGCAGCAGUGGGUAAUCUUCCGCAAUGGACGAAAGUCUGACGAGGCAACGCCGCGUGAGUGAUGACGGCCUUCGGGUUGUAAAGCUCUGUUAAUCGGGACGCGGUACCGAAAUAGAAAGCCACGGCUAACUACGUACCAGCAGCCGCGGUAAUUC